rnacentral:lncRNA from 1 species
AUUCUCCAACAAGUCCAUCCUACUCUCCUACUUCUCCCAGUUACAGCCCCACAUCCCCGAGCUAUAGCCCUACAUCUCCCACUUACAGUCCUACUUCUCCUAGCUACAGCCCCACUUCCCCCAGUUACAGUCCUACUUCACCUAGUUACAGCCCCACAUCUCCAGUCUACAGUCCCACUUCUCCGGCCUAUAGCCCAACAUCUCCUGCAUACAGCCCAACCUCACCAUCAUAUAGUCCAACAUCACCUUCCUACAGCCCCACAUCACCAUCAUAUAGUCCAACUUCUCCUUCAUACAGCCCUACAUCA